GGGAGGCCUUCAUCCAGCAGUGGAUUAACAAAAGGGAUCUACCUGCACACGAACAACUGCAGGGCGUGUGUUUUGACUGCCCGUGCAUUGGCGUCAACCCUCAAUACCCUGAGCAUGAAGCCACAAGCACCGCUGACGUCCGCUCUCAGCGAGUGACGCACGCGUCGUGAACAGAGUCGUGCCGUAUGAGAUCACGGUGUUCACGAGCGACAUCCGCAACGCCGGCACCAACGCGGACGUGAGCUUGGUGCUGUACGGCCCCAACGGCGUGAGCACGCGCUC